rnacentral:rRNA from 1 species
AGCGUAUAUUAAAGUUGUUGCAGUUAAAAAGCUCGUAGUUGAAUUUCGGGAUUUAUCCGUCGGUCGGGCUUUUGGGUCUGUACUGGCGUGAUGGAUUCCUACCUUCUGAAUAACCGGCAUGUCAUUAAUUUGGUGCGCCGGGGAAGCAGGACUGUUACCUUGAAAAAAUUAGAGUGCUUAAAGCAGGCUUAUGCCUGAAUACAUUAGCAUGGAAUAAUGAAAUAGGACGGCAUGGUUCUAUUUUGUUGGUUUCUAGGAUCACCGUAAUGAUUAAUAGGGAUAGUUGGGGGCAUUAGUAUUCAAUUGUCAGAGGUGAAAUUCUUGGAUUUAUUGAAGACUAACUUCUGCGAAAGCAUUUGCCAAGGAUGUUUUCAUUAAUCAAGAACGAAAGUUAGGGGAUCGAAGACGAUCAGAUACCGUCGUAGUCUUAACCAUAAACUAUGCCGACUAGGGAUCGGACGAUGUUAAUUUUUUAAUGACUC